CGAAAACAUGUGGAACUUACCUCUAAAUGUGUAUAUGCGUCAAUCUUAACCUCUCUCUGCGCAAACAGUCUAGACUAUUAAUAAAUGCCGUAUCUAUAAUGUCUAUAAUGGACAAUUAUAAAGAAGAUACUCUGAAAUAAAAAUGCCAUCUUGUAAAGUCAAGAUACGAGUUACUAAAAGAAAACAAGAAGAAAAUUAUGGUAUUUCGACGCCAUCUAUUUUAGAGUCAUUGUCAAACCAAACUUGUUAUUUACCAACGUAGUUCUGUAUUUUAAAAGUGUCCAAAUUUCAUCUAUUUUUUCCCGGUUUGUACAAAAAUAAAAAAAACAAUUAUCGUGUUGCCACGACUAACAUGACGUGGCAACGCGAGCCUGCGUUCAGUGUGGCGUAAUUACGAAUACUUCAUGUUGAAACAAUGUUUGGAAAAUAUAAGCGAGGGGUUGUUGCAUGUAUAUAUUUCUAGUCUUCCUAUAUUUGUCCUCAUAAAGAUCUAGUAUCAAUUUCUAAAAUACAGGAUGUAUAAAAAAAAACUGAACAGAUUUGAAAUUGCUCUCAAUUUCGCAAAACACCUAUUUGUAUCCGGUUUUACAUAUAUAUAGCUUCUUUGGGUACUUAUAAUGUAGAAUAAUGAAAAAAAUUUCUCAAACUGAAAUUUUGUGAACCAGGGGGGGGGGGGUUUCUUUUCCAACAAACUGAAAAUGGCUCGCGCACAAAAUUUAAUGUAAUCGUAUUUUGAGUUAAUAGGUGGAAACUUUGUUGGCGAAAAGAAGCUAUAUAUAUAAAAAACCGGAUACAAGUAGGUGUUUAGCGAAAUUGAGAGCAAUUUCAAAUCUGUUCAGUUUUUUUUAUACACCCUGUAUAUAAAGUAGGUAUAAUAGUUUGGUUUCUAUGGGCUUUAUUUUAAUGUAAAAUUAAAAACGAAACUCUACGUAAAACGUUUUUAAAUGUGAAUUGAAAUCAACUGCUUUUUGCCGAUGUUUAUAAACUCUUCAACUUGAGCUUCAACUUGUUACUCGUACAUUGAAAUGAAAUAAAUUUAAUUGAAUUUCGUACAGCACGCUAAAGAAAAUAAUUUGAUUUCUUUUUAUCAUGAACUUCUACAAAGGUUAAUUUAACUAAGAAACGUCGCAAUUUGUUAUGUGAAAAAAUUUUCCAAGCAUUCUGACAUGCAUUUUUUAUAUUUUUGUUGCCUCUU